UGAAGCCUCAGGCUGGAAAAUGGCGAGGGCUUGAAACUUUUCUCAGGCAGGGAAGCUCUGAGGCUGAGACAGUUUCUCUCUCAUGCAGAGAAAGUUUUCCCAGGCUUGAGACAGUUUCUCAGUUCCAGCCUGAGCCUUUCCCAGGGUGAUAACGCUGGGGAAAAAUAAAAAGGAAUUAAUAACAAGAUCAACAGCUGUGCUUCGAUGAUAAACAGUUCUCACGGUUUUGUGAGAAAGUUUUGUUUUCUUCAAGUAUCCAAUAGACUGCUGUUCUGUUUGUAGUUUGCGGAACACACUAUAAGAAUGUGGUCCGCAGUUCAAUAAACCGCUUCUUUAGCCACCUAGCUAGAGGAGUCCGUGUCGUUAUUUCUGCGAAAUACAUCGCGAGUAGCGACAUUUGGAGGUUCCACCGAGAUCGCCUUUCAUCGGAGCAGACGAGAUCGGGAUCGGCUUUGGAGCCUCGGAUCGGCGAGCGAAGUCCCGCAGCCCACGGAGCCCCGGCAGCGCCAGGCCGAGAGAUCCCGCAGACCCGCGGAGCCGAGCGCCGAUCAAGCCCGGACGGGGAGAGCCGCGGACUGUUCUCCUUCCCUGCGAGAGAGGGCAGAUCAACGAGAUCGCAAAGACGGUGGUUUCGGAUCCACAGGACCGCCACAAGUCUUUUGGACAAUGAAUAUCUCCGAUCAGCGCCCACAGAUGAUGUGCACUUUGACCCUCUCAGGUGCCACCCCAUCUCAGGUUCAACUCAGAGGUUUGAUUGAUACCGGGGCAGAUGUAACGGUGAUUUCUCUUUCUGCCUGGCCUCCCACAUGGCCCCUGUCCCCUCUUGGCCAAGCCAUUGCAGGCUUGGGAGGCACAGCACAGACUUUCAUCAGUCAGAGGCCUGUGCUGAUCAGAAAUAUGGAAGGGCAGACGGCUACAGUCUGACCCUACAUCACUGCAGCCCCUAUCAACCUCUGGGGACGGGAUGUGUUGGCAGCCUGGGGUGUGCGCAUGGAAGCAAAUUUUUAAUUGGGGUCACUGAAGUGAAGGGCAAAAAUUAUUUUAUGAUGCCUUUACAGUGGUUGACUGAUACCCCUGUUUGGCAGAAAUAGUGGCCCCCACCAAAAAUUAAGUAGUUGUCCCUUUGUCAAUUUGUGACCAUUUUGGUCAUUGAUUUGAAGGAUGGCUUUUCCACAAUCCCCUUGUGCCCUGAGGACAGACCAAAAUUCGUGUUUUUACAGUGCCUGCAAAUUCUGUGAUGGGACAGAGAUAUCAAUUGAAAGUUUUGCCACAGGGUUUCCAAUUAGCCUGACACACUGCAGCAGGCUGCAGCAAGCUUUUACUCACCAGGUAUACCGAGUGGAUUCUUCCAUUGAUAUCUCUGUGUUUAUCAGCACUCCGGAUUUACAUCCUACAGGUAUCAUUGGCCAGUUACCUGGGAGGAUGAGUCUGGUUUGCAAAUGCUGGAAGGCCAUGAGACAAGUGCUGCUCAGAUAAUUGAGUUGAGAGCAGUCACAGUGGCAUUCCAACAAUUUUUUCAGGUACUUUUGAAUUUGGUCAAAAAGUUUUUAUAUAAACAGAAAAGGGGAGUGGCUGGUGAAGAACCACACAGCCGAUUGGGAAAAGUUUUGUAUACCUUCAAUCACCUUACUGUGCCACAAGAUUCUAAUAAUCUUGUUUUUGUGAGUUAUUUCACUUUCUUACAGGCUGCAGAUGAUACAUGCCUGCCUCAUCGUUUGGGGAAGUGGGUAUGCUUGCAUCUCAAUAGAUACUGGGGUGCACUGCCUGCCUGCAAGGUGUGUCCGCCCUGACCUGCGACAUCAGGGACAGAAUGCAGCCGAGGCACAGUCUUCAAAUGCUGAACAAUAUGCCGAUCACCAGCCAGACGAUCCCUCUGCAAGCAGAGGAUGAGCAUUCAUCUGUUUCUUUGGAAAUGUUUUUAGCUUUGGGACAUUGUUAAAUAAGCUCUUUUGAAAUAUAUUAAGAAAUUAUAAGUUUGGAAAAUGGUGAUGGGUUUUGCUAUCAAUGUUAGCACUGAGUUUCUCAAAAAGCACUAGGUGUGAAGAUUUCCCUGAGUGCUUCAGGCAUCCAUAGAUCUCCAGAGUGGUGUUUGUUCUCCUCCACGUAGGGCCCCCGUGGAGGACUACAUGCACUUCUUUCUUUUCUUU